rnacentral:tRNA from 1 species
AUCCCAGUAGCUCAGUAGUAGAGCGGUCAGCUAUUCACUGAUUCGUCGUAGGUUCAAAUCCUACCUGGGAUC